CACGUAGGGUGCGAGCGUUGUCCGGAAUUAUUGGGCGUAAAGAGCUCGUAGGCGGUGUGUCGCGUCGGCCGUGAAAAACCUGCAGCUUAACUGUGGGCUUGCGGUCGAUACGGGCAUCACUGGAGUUCGGCAGGGGAGACUGGAAUUCCUGGUGAUAGCGGUGAAAUGCGCAGAUAUCAGGAGGAACACCGGUGGCGAAGGCGGGUCUC
rnacentral:rRNA from 1 species